rfam:Oryzias latipes DNA, chromosome6, strain: Hd-rR.
GUUGGGUAUGGAGACAUGUGCCCCACCACCAUUGGAGGCAAAUUCGUGGGAUCUUUGUGUGCAAUCGCCGGAGUUCUGACCAUAGCUCUACCCGUUCCAGUGAUCGUUUCCAAU